AAUCAUUGUCUCUUCCAUAUUGUUUUCAGAAGCCGUCGGAUGCGUACACCCUGAGAUUCUGAAAUCCGCAUUAAUCUAGCAGCACUAAAGCAAUUUAGCGACUUUCGAGCACAGGAUGAGAGCUAAGUGGCGUAAGAAGAGGAUGCGCAGGCUAAAACGUAAAAGGAGGAAGAUGCGUGCGAGGUCCAAGUAAACGGCUUCCACUUGAUCUCUGCACGAGAAGAACAGUUCUAUGAAUUUUUUCAUCGCUUGACGAAUCACCGUUGAGGCUGCAAGAAAAUCAUUGCUCACGAGAAAUUCCAAAUGAAUGUUUUUCCCACAGGGAACUAUUUGUACAUUUCAUCUUGUACUUGACUAAAUACAGAUACUAAAAUACGACAAA